CUAAACCUGAGGCAGGUGUAAAUUUACUCUGUCCCAACACAGCAGGCACAAAAGGACUCUGAUUCCUAUACUAGAGCUUCCAGCUGAGACCUUGGCUGAGGAGUUGCCUCUGCAUAGACAUACAAGAACAGGCUUUAGGUUUUAGUAUUUUUUUACAUAAAGGUCUGGAUACAGUGCAAGUGUCACAUACCCAGAGCUGGUGACGAGGGAGCUGAAGUGGGAGUGCGUCAAGACGACGUUUGUGGCAGCACACUCUGUAGCACAGCCUGCGUUGGCUCACUUGCUAGGCAACCUCUGAAUGCUGCCUUUCUCAAGUGUUUGGGAGGAGGUGAGCUGAUCUCCUU
rnacentral:lncRNA from 1 species